UACGGAAGGCAGCAGUGGGGAAUAUUGCACAAUGGGCGCAAGCCUGAUGCAGCCAUGCCGCGUGUAUGAAAAAGGCCUUCGGGUUGUAAAGUACUUUCAGUCGUGAGGAAGGUGUUAAGGUUAAUAACCUUAGCAAUUGACGUUAGCGACAGAAGAAGCACCGGCUAACUCCGUGCCAGCAGCCGCGGUAAUACGGAGGGUGCGAGCGUUAAUCGGAAUUACUGGGCGUAAAGGGCACGCAGGCGGUUAAUUAAGUUGGAUGUGAAAUCCCCGGGCUUAACCUGGGAAUGGCAUUCAAGACUGGUUGGCUAGAGUCUUGUAGAGGGGGUAGAAUUCCAUGUGUAGCGGUGAAAUGCGUAGAGAUGUGGAGGAAUACCGGUGGCGAAGGCGGCCCCUGGACAAAGACUGACGCUCAUGUGCGAAAGCGUGGGGAGCAAACAGGGAUUAGAUACC
rnacentral:rRNA from 1 species